rnacentral:snoRNA from 1 species
GGGAUUAGAGAAAAAUUAAAUUUCUGGCUGAGUUCUUACACUGACUAUACAGAGAGGUGAGGCAGAGUAAACCUACCCCAUGUAUCCCACCCCUGGUCCUAUGCCUGCUGUAUAUUGUGAAUAGGGAGACAUGG